GAUGAACGCUGGCGGCGUGCCUAAUACAUGCAAGUCGAGCGAACGGACGAGAAGCUUGUUUCUCUGAUGUUAGCGGCGGACGGGUGAGUAACACGUGGAUAACCUACCUAUAAGACUGGGAUAACUUCGGGAAACCGGAGCUAAUACCGGAUAAUAUUUUGAACCGCAUGGUUCAAAAGUGAAAGACGGUCUUGCUGUCACUUAUAGAUGGAUCCGCGCUGCAUUAGCUAGUUGGUAAGGUAACGGCUUACCAAGGCAACGAUGCGUAGCCGGCCUGAGAGGGUGAUCGGCCACACUGGAACUGAGACACGGUCCAGACUCCUACGGGAGGCAGCAGUAGGGAAUCUUCCGCAAUGGGCGAAAGCCUGACGGAGCAACGCCGCGUGAGUGAUGAAGGUCUUCGGAUCGUAAAACUCUGUUAUUAGGGAAGAACAUAUGUGUAAGUAACUGUGCACAUCUUGACGGUACCUAAUCAGAAAGCCACGGCUAACUACGUG
rnacentral:rRNA from 1 species